GACAGAGGGUGCAAACGUUUGUUCGGAAUUACUGGGCGUAAAGCGAGUGUAGGCGGUGUGGUAAGUCGGAUGUGAAAGCCCCGGGCUCAACCCGGGAAGUGCACUCGAUACUGCCACGCUAGAGUAUCGGAGAGGUUGGUGGAAUUCUCGGUGUAGAGGUGAAAUUCGUAGAUAUCGAGAGGAACACCGGUGGCGAAGGCGGCCAACUGGACGAAUACUGACGCUGAGAACUCGAAAGCGUGGGGAGCAAACAGG
rnacentral:rRNA from 1 species